AACGAACGCUGGCGGCAGGCUUAACACAUGCAAGUCGAGCGCCCCGCAAGGGGAGCGGCAGACGGGUGAGUAACGCGUGGGAAUCUACCCAUCUCUACGGAAUAACGCAUGGAAACGUGUGCUAAUACCGUAUACGUCCUUCGGGAGAAAGAUUUAUCGGAGAUGGAGGAGCCCGCGUUGGAUUAGCUAGUUGGUGGGGUAAAGGCCUACCAAGGCGACGAUCCAUAGCUGGUCUGAGAGGAUGAUCAGCCACACUGGGACUGAGAAACGGCCCAGACUCCUACGGGAGGCAGCAGUGGGGAAUAUUGGACAAUGGGCGCAAGCCUGAUCCAGCCAUGCCGCGUGAGUGAUGAAGGCCCUAGGGUUGUAAAGCUCUUUCACCGGUGAAGAUAAUGACGGUAACCGGAGAAGAAGCCCCGGCUAACUUCGUGCCAGCCGCCGCGGUAAGAC
rnacentral:rRNA from 1 species